rnacentral:lncRNA from 1 species
AUGUAUAUAAAUAUUCUAUUGUCCCUUUCAAUGGGAUACAACAAAAAAAAACAUUCAACAAAACUCUUACCUGAAAUCUCUAUUAAAUCAAAUAAGAAAGAAAUUCUAGAGAUUAUUGAUUUCGUAAAUCAAAUUGUGUUAUAAAAUAAUAAAAUGAAAGAGUAAAGAUGAAGAAUAUAAUAUUAGAUCACCAAGCCUCCUUUCAUUCAAUUGAUGCAGAUAAUAAAGGAAGAGGGGAUUUGAG